rnacentral:rRNA from 1 species
UACGGAGGGUGCGAGCGUUGUCCGGAUUUAUUGGGUUUAAAGGGUGCGUAGGUGGCUUGUUAAGUCAGUGGUGAAAUACAGCCGCUCAACGGUUGAGGUGCCAUUGAUACUGACAAGCUUGAAACAAGUGGAGGUUGCCGGAAUGGAUGGUGUAGCGGUGAAAUGCAUAGAUAUCAUCCAGAACACCGAUUGCGAAGGCAGGUGACUACGUUUGAUUUGACACUGAGGCACGAAAGCAUGGGGAGCAAACAGG